CUGUAUUGUGUUUUGUUAUCAACACAUGGACUAAUUCUUCUAGCCUUGAGAACUCUUUGGUUUAUAAACCUGUUUUCUUUGCAGGCCGAGUGCUGUUAACCCCAGUAUUACUGCAUGAGCACCGUGUGUUAAGGAGCCCAUUGCAGGCUGCCUGGCACGACGCUAAAAGAUGCCAGUAAAAGUCAGCUUAAAUAUGCCGACCUGAAAGAUGAUUAGUCCCAGCAUUCAAGCUACUAUUCAUCAUAAUUGCCUUGUUAGGAGAAUAGAAAAAAUGCUUCUUUGUUCUCAGAGAAUAUUGAGAAUUUUUGCAAGUGACUUAUUGAAAUGCUGGGGGUCACGUGACUUCCUGACAAAUGGAAGUGUUGUAAGGAGCUCAAAACUCAAACAGCCACAACCAAACUAUGUGCUCUGAUUUGGAGAAACAUUUAAAUUAGGACGAGAGAUAUGCAUAAAUGUAUACCCAAAGAAAACUCUUUUCACUGCACCUAGGCAGCCAGUGUAAGGUAUGUGACCUGUGGUCCACUGGACGCUUUAAUACUGUCAGAGCUCCCCUAAGUCUAUUUGUGCCAAAUUCAAAGCAAAGACAAAAACAUACAGUAAUGCGGUGCAUCCUGUUUACCAUAUAAAUGGUUAGCAUUUUACAGCCUUGAUUUUUAAUGAGUAAUGCCUUUGUAUAAAACUCACUUUGGGAAAUAGGAAAAUCUGUUACCCUCCUCUCAAAAGUAACUCAUGAUUGGCUGAGGUCAUCAGCCUAGUGAAGGGCUGAGGCCCAUGUAGACAUGGAUCCAAGGCCUGAGGUAGAAUAGACUUCAAGUAAUGGCUUCUUCCUGAGGCCUGAGGUAGAAUAGACUUCAAGUAAUGGCUUCUUCCUGAGGCCUGAGGUAGAAUAGACUUCAAGUAAUGGCUUCUUCCGUUUGGGGAGGGUGGUGUUUGUGGAAGGAGCGCUGACAUUGAAGUCACACUGAUGAGGAGAUGUUCCCCUGUAUUUCACUGUGAACGCUGUGCCAUGUUCUCAGCACACUAUUACAAAACAGCUCCUUAAACAUUCAGAGUCUGAUCUUUUAUUGAAACCAGUCUGCAGUGUGUCUGUCAUACGCUGUUCAUAGCAAAGAAGUGACCCAGUCACCCAUUCUCUCUUCCCCUCUCACAACCAGAGAAGCAGCCCUAGAGUCUCCCCACUUCCCUCCCUGUCUGUGUGCUUUAGAGCCAUAGCUGUGUCUGACAGGUACCAGGAUGCUUGCUUCUUCCUACUCUGUAAUAAGGAAUACAGGCAGGGAGAGCCCAGAGCAGAGUAUCCUGCUAAUGCUGCAUGGAGCAGUAUUAUGGGAAUAUGUGGUGGGAGUUUUCGUUUGUUUGAUGAGUUUUUAUGAUGAUGAUGAUAUGUAAGAUAAUUGAAGGGAAGAAUUGAAGGCUUUGCUGCUUCCGCUAUAACUCAUCAGAAAUGCUCACAUUUAAUUGUAGCAUCUCCAAGAAGGCAAGGAUAAGCUAAUGACAUUAGUAAUAGCCACCUUUCUGAUGAGCCCUGCACUUUAUGCCAGCAAUGUCUGAAGAUGAGUUUUGCCUUAAAUUAGUUUGAAUCCACCCGAGGCCAUUGUGUUAGGUAUAUCUGAGGUCUCGUCAGCUCUCCACUGGCAUGCAAUUCAUAAAAGAGCCUCAAGCGUCACCAUCUCCUGGGAUGAGCUUUGAGCUUCUCCCACUCUACUCUGGUUGACUUGUAACAUUAACAUUAGAAGUAUCUUCUCAGUUCCUCGAGUAGCAGAGGCGUGGCCAGAGCACUGCCAGGGGACAAUUCCCUGGCGGGCGAUAGUAUCCACGUGAUGAUAACUUCCUGUACAGGUGGGAGCUUCCUGUUCUUUUUUAUGGUGACUGCAAGAGAUGUUCUAAAGGUUCUUUGGUUCAGUGACAAUAUUCAGAUUAUUUCUAAGAAUUUUAACAAUUACCGUUACGUAUUCAAAAGCUUACCUAGCAUUAACAGACACAGGAGAAACCCCUCCUCCGAGAUGGAGGUAUUACUUGCAAUGGUGUUAUCAAGAGUGCUCUAAUUUAUUUUUUUAACAGAAUUAAGCAGUAAAAUGUGGGUAUGGUUGAGAAGAUAGAAAAACAGCUUUUCUAGGCCGUGCUUAGACAAGUAGUCAUGCAGGUAACUACACUGAUUCACCUACAUGUUUGUCACUAAAAGCCAUUUUCUGCCCUUAUAACCUCCCCCAGCAUUGCUAUUAAUAUGUAAAUCAUAUAUUUCAUAUGCCUUUGGGUAUUAUAAGUAAAAGUGAUCUUUUCUCCUUUUAAAAAGUUGCUGUAAUAGUAUGCUGACUUCAGUAUUUUAGGUCAGGGCAGGAUUAAUUAUGUAACUGUAUUGCCCAGGUCUUUAUUGGUGAGAUUCAAAUGUGAAGAUGAGAAAAAAAUUUAAAAAGGUUUGAGUAACAAAUCAGCAAGGAUUGCCAACAGUAAAGAGUAGGCAUUGCAAGGAUAUCUGGUAAUGGGGGAUAUUCUUUGGAUGUUUUGCUACACUGAGUUCACACUAUAAUUGUUGAAAUUGAGUCUAGCUAAAAGUUUGGUAAGAGUUUUGGGUGUUAGAAGUUUUAUACUUAUGUAUGAAUAGUUUCUAAAUUCCUUUAGGCUGUAGACCUUGAUGUAAUUGAAAGACAGAUGUCCUUUCCCAAGGAUAGCUGUAUUUUUCAUGGUUUUAAAUGAGGAACCAAAUAUUCAUUUCAUGAAAUAAUAUAAAUAUUAGAAAACAAUACGGAAAAUGACAUAUAAAAGUGACAUUUAAAAAUGAAAGUCUCUGUAAUGCCUGGUGUCUGCUGAGAACAAUCUAUCCCUGUGAAACGUUUGAAAGAUGUUGAAUUUGAAAGUCCAAGAGUUUGUUAUAUAAAUCAAGUUUCUCAGGACAUUUGAGGUGACAUUGUCAUGUAUUUCUGUUGUCGUUUGGAAAAGGCAUUUCUUUAGUUAGGCUAUGAGGAAACCACACACUUCAUUUUGUAAGAGUCCUUAAGUGCAGUGACGUAGAGAAGAGUAGAACAUGUGAGCUGGGAUCCCCAGUGCUCGUCAGUUCAUGGUCAACCCACUCCCCCAGUGGGGCUGUGAAGUGCAUAUUUCAUGGAGCUGAACAAAGCCUCAAUAGAAUAUCGUCUCUUAUCUGAGGAAAGACCACCUUAAACCACAUGCCUAUUUAGAGAUUGAAUAAAACUGUGAGGACACACUGUGUGGAUGCCUUAAGGUGACUGGUGUUGGUGCUGGUGCUGGUGCUGGUGGACAUGUAUGCACCCAUGAAUUAGGCUGCAGGGAACAGUCUAUUUCCAUUCAUCUUCAUAUAACCCAAGUCGUUCCUGUGCAUAACCUUGCUGAGGAAAUGAGAAACACGGUGCUGGUUACUUUGAUGUGUUUGGGGAGGCUGAUGUCAUUGGUUAAUAUUAAGGCACUAACCAGUGCCCAAGCCUUCCUUCAGUACCACUCAUACAUCUACAUCCAUUCAUUCAUCUAUGCAAGCUUGCGUUUUUGUGAUUUGUAUUUUACACCUGAACGUCAGGUUUAACAUCGUGUUUUAAAUAAUUUUAAACCAAAGUAUUGUAUAAGUCUGUGUGCUUUGUUUUUGUGAAUAGUUUGUGAUAAAUACCUAUCUUGUUUUCUCUUAAUAAAGUUAUCUGUUUAUUGAGUCACUG
rnacentral:lncRNA from 1 species